UUUGACGAAAAUUAUAUUCUCAUUACACGGCUCUACAAAAAAAUGUUGUUCUUCGUCCUAAAGUUUAUUUUAUGAUCUUCUGGUUAAUUAUGAACAAAAACGAAAAGAAAAUAUCAUUUUUUGGUAUAAAGUUUGCUUUUGUAAUAGUUAUAGU
rnacentral:lncRNA from 1 species